GGGUUGUGAGGUUAAGCGACUAAGCGUACACGGUGGAUGCCCUGGCAGUCAGAGGCGAUGAAGGACGUGCUAAUCUGCGAAAAGCGUCGGUAAGGUGAUAUGAACCGUUAUAACCGGCGAUGUCCGAAUGGGGAAACCCAGUGCAAUUCGUUGCACUAUCGUUAACUGAAUACAUAGGUUAACGAGGCGAACCGGGGGAACUGAAACAUCUAAGUACCCCGAGGAAAAGAAAUCAACCGAGAUUCCCCCAGUAGCGGCGAGCGAACGGGGAGCAGCCCAGAGUCUGAAUCAGCUUGUGUGUUAGUGGAACGGUCUGGAAAGUCCGACGGUACAGGGUGAUAGUCCCGUACACCAAAAUGCACAGGUUGUGAACUCGAAGAGUAGGGCGGGACACGUGGUAUCCUGUCUGAAUAUGGGGGGACCAUCCUCCAAGGCUAAAUACUCCUGACUGACCGAUAGUGAACCAGUACCGUGAGGGAAAGGCGAAAAGAACCCCGGCGAGGGGAGUGAAAAAGAACCUGAAACCGUGUACGUACAAGCAGUGGGAGCACCUUCGGGUGUGACUGCGUACCUUUUGUAUAAUGGGUCAGCGACUUAUAUUCUGUAGCAAGGUUAACCGUAUAGGGGAGCCGCAGGGAAACCGAGUCUUAACUGGGCGUUAAGUUGCAGGGUAUAGACCCGAAACCCGGUGAUCUAGCCAUGGGCAGGUUGAAGGUUGGGUAACACUAACUGGAGGACCGAACCGACUAAUGUUGAAAAAUUAGCGGAUGACUUGUGGCUGGGGGUGAAAGGCCAAUCAAACCGGGAGAUAGCUGGUUCUCCCCGAAAGCUAUUUAGGUAGCGCCUCGUGAACUCAUCUUCGGGGGUAGAGCACUGUUUCGGCUAGGGGGUCAUCCCGACUUACCAACCCGAUGCAAACUACGAAUACCGAAGAAUGUUAUCACGGGAGACACACGGCGGGUGCUAACGUCCGUCGUGAAGAGGGAAACAACCCAGACCGCCAGCUAAGGUCCCAAAGUCAUGGUUAAGUGGGAAACGAUGUGGGAAGGCACAGACAGCCAGGAUGUUGGCUUAGAAGCAGCCAUCAUUUAAAGAAAGCGUAAUAGCUCACUGGUCGAGUCGGCCUGCGCGGAAGAUGUAACGGGGCUAAACCAUGCACCGAAGCUGCGGCAGCGACACUAUGUGUUGUUGGGUAGGGGAGCGUUCUGUAAGCCUGCGAAGGUGACCUGUGAGGGUUGCUGGAGGUAUCAGAAGUGCGAAUGCUGACAUAAGUAACGAUAAAGCGGGUGAAAAGCCCGCUCGCCGGAAGACCAAGGGUUCCUGUCCAACGUUAAUCGGGGCAGGGUGAGUCGACCCCUAAGGCGAGGCCGAAAGGCGUAGUCGAUGGGAAACAGGUUAAUAUUCCUGUACUUGGUGUUACUGCGAAGGGGGGACGGAGAAGGCUAUGUUAGCCGGGCGACGGUUGUCCCGGUUUAAGCAUGUAGGCUGGUUGUCCAGGCAAAUCCGGAUAAUCAAGGCUGAGGUGUGAUGACGAGGCACUACGGUGCUGAAGUAACAAAUGCCCUGCUUCCAGGAAAAGCCUCUAAGCAUCAGGUAACAUCAAAUCGUACCCCAAACCGACACAGGUGGUCAGGUAGAGAAUACCAAGGCGCUUGAGAGAACUCGGGUGAAGGAACUAGGCAAAAUGGUGCCGUAACUUCGGGAGAAGGCACGCUGGUGUGUAGGUGAAGUCCCUGCGGAUGGAGCUGAGACCAGUCGAAGAUACCAGCUGGCUGCAACUGUUUAUUAAAAACACAGCACUGUGCAAACACGAAAGUGGACGUAUACGGUGUGACGCCUGCCCGGUGCCGGAAGGUUAAUUGAUGGGGUUAUCCGUAAGGAGAAGCUCUUGAUCGAAGCCCCGGUAAACGGCGGCCGUAACUAUAACGGUCCUAAGGUAGCGAAAUUCCUUGUCGGGUAAGUUCCGACCUGCACGAAUGGCGUAAUGAUGGCCAGGCUGUCUCCACCCGAGACUCAGUGAAAUUGAACUCGCUGUGAAGAUGCAGUGUACCCGCGGCAAGACGGAAAGACCCCGUGAACCUUUACUAUAGCUUGACACUGAACAUUGAGCCUUGAUGUGUAGGAUAGGUGGGAGGCUUUGAAGCGUGGACGCCAGUCUGCGUGGAGCCAACCUUGAAAUACCACCCUUUAAUGUUUGAUGUUCUAACGUUGGCCCCUUAUCGGGGUUGCGGACAGUGUCUGGUGGGUAGUUUGACUGGGGCGGUCUCCUCCCAAAGCGUAACGGAGGAGCACGAAGGUUAGCUAAUCCUGGUCGGACAUCAGGAGGUUAGUGCAAUGGCAUAAGCUAGCUUGACUGCGAGCGUGACGGCGCGAGCAGGUGCGAAAGCAGGUCAUAGUGAUCCGGUGGUUCUGAAUGGAAGGGCCAUCGCUCAACGGAUAAAAGGUACUCCGGGGAUAACAGGCUGAUACCGCCCAAGAGUUCAUAUCGACGGCGGUGUUUGGCACCUCGAUGUCGGCUCAUCACAUCCUGGGGCUGAAGUAGGUCCCAAGGGUAUGGCUGUUCGCCAUUUAAAGUGGUACGCGAGCUGGGUUUAGAACGUCGUGAGACAGUUCGGUCCCUAUCUGCCGUGGGCGCUGGAGAAUUGAGGGGGGCUGCUCCUAGUACGAGAGGACCGGAGUGGACGCAUCACUGGUGUUCGGGUUGUCAUGCCAAUGGCACUGCCCGGUAGCUAAAUGCGGAAGAGAUAAGUGCUGAAAGCAUCUAAGCACGAAACUUGCCCCGAGAUGAGUUCUCCCUGAGACUUUAAGUCUCCUGAAGGAACGUUAAAGACGAUGACGUUGAUAGGCCGGGUGUGUAAGCGCAGCGAUGCGUUGAGCUAACCGGUACUAAUGAACCGUGAGGCUUAACCUUACAACGCCGAAG
rnacentral:rRNA from 1 species